AUUUCAAUCCUAUUAGUCACUGAUUACAACAACAUAUUAAAUUGAUUUUUAGAACAGGGAGACGGAAGAGGGGCUUGCUCCGUCCGCUCCACGCAUCGACCUGGUAUUGCAGUACCUCCGGGAAUGGUGCACCUCCU
ensembl:snRNA U2 U2 spliceosomal RNA